CCAGACUCCUACGGGAGGCAGCAGUGGGGAAUAUUGCACAAUGGGGGAAACCCUGAUGCAGCGACGCCGCGUGAGUGAAGAAGUAUUUCGGUAUGUAAAGCUCUAUCAGCAGGGAAGAAAAUGACGGUACCUGAAGAAGAAGCCCCGGCUAACUACGUGCCAGCAGCCGCGGUAAUACGUAGGGGGCAAGCGUUAUCCGGAUUUACUGGGUGUAAAGGGGGCGCAGACGGCGAUGCAAGCCAGGAGUGAAAGCCCGGGGCCCAACCCCGGGACUGCUCUUGGAAACUGGCGGGCUGGAGUGCCGGAGAGGUAAGCGGAAUUCCUAGUGUAGCGGUGAAAUGCGUAGAUAUUAGGAGGAACACCAGUGGCGAAGGCGGCUUACUGGACGGCAACUGACGCUGAGGCUCGAAAGCGCGGGGAGCAAACAGGAUUAGAUACCCCGGUA
rnacentral:rRNA from 1 species